rnacentral:rRNA from 1 species
UACGUAGGGUGCGAGCGUUGCCCGGCUUUAUUGGGCGUAAAGGGCGCGUAGGCGGCCUGGCGCGUCGGCUGUGAAAUCUCCCGGCUCAACUGGGAGGGGACGGCCGAUACGGCUGGGCUUGAGCGAGGUAGGGGAGAGUGGAAUUCCCGGUGUAGUGGUGGAAUGCGUAGAUAUCUGGAAGAACACCAAAGGCGAAGGCAGUGUCCUGGGUGGUCGCUGACGCUGAGAGGCGAAAGCCAGGGGAGCGAACGCG